UAAUACGUAGGGGGCAAGCGUUGUCCGGAAUCAUUGGGCGUAAAGCGCGUGUAGGCGGCCUUGUAAGUCCGUUCUGAAAGUCCGGGGCUCAACCCCGGGAGGCGGAUGGAUACUGCAAGGCUCGAGUCCGGAAGAGGCGAGUGGAAUUCCCGGUGUAGCGGUGAAAUGCGCAGAUAUCGGGAGGAACACCAAUGGCGAAGGCAGCUCGCUGGGACGGUACUGACGCUGAGACGCGAAAGCGUGGGGAGCAAACAGGAUUAGAUACCCUGGUAGUCCACGCCGUAAACGAUGGACACUAGGUGUGGGAGGUGUCGACUCCUUCCGUGCCGAAGCUAACGCAUUAAGUGUCCCGCCUGGGGAGUACGGCCGCAAGGCUA
rnacentral:rRNA from 1 species